rnacentral:rRNA from 1 species
UACGUAGGGUGCAAGCGUUAAUCGGAAUUACUGGGCGUAAAGCGAGCGCAGGCGGUUCUGUAAGACAGGUGUGAAAUCCCCGAGCUCAACUUGGGAAUGGCACUUGUGACUGCAGAGCUAGAGUGUGUCAGAGGAAAGUGGAAUUCCGCGUGUAGCAGUGAAAUGCGUAGAUAUGCGGAGGAACACCGAUGGCGAAGGCAGCUUUCUGGGAUAACACUGACGCUCAUGCUCGAAAGCGUGGGGAGCAAACAGG